UACGUAGGAGACGAGCGUUGUCCGGAGUUACUGGGCGUAAAGGGUGCGCAGGCGGUGCGGUAAGUCACCUGUGAAAUCUCCUGGCUCAACUGGGAGCUUGCAGGCGAAACUGCCGUGCUGGAGUGUGGGAGAGGUGCGUGGAAUUCCUGGUGUAGCGGUGAAAUGCGUAGAUAUCAGGAGGAACACCUGUGGCGAAAGCGGCGCACUGGACCACAACUGACGCUGAGGCGCGAAAGCUAGGGGAGCAAACAGG
rnacentral:rRNA from 1 species